GACGAACGCUGGCGGCGUGCUUAACACAUGCAAGUCGAACGGAAAGGCCCUGCUUUUGUGGGGUGCUCGAGUGGCGAACGGGUGAGUAACACGUGAGUAACCUGCCCUUGACUUUGGGAUAACUUCAGGAAACUGGGGCUAAUACCGGAUAGGAGCUCCUGCUGCAUGGUGGGGGUUGGAAAGUUUCGGCGGUUGGGGAUGGACUCGCGGCUUAUCAGCUUGUUGGUGGGGUAGUGGCUUACCAAGGCGUUGACGGGUAGCCGGCCUGAGAGGGUGACCGGCCACGUUGCGCCGGCCGUCCGCCCCCGCCGUCUACGGGCGGCAGCGUUCGGAGAUCUUGCACAUUGGGGCUACGCCUGAUCCAGCCACGCGUCGGGCGGUAUCCCGGCUUGCUGUUUCUACGCCCCUUCUCCCUGUGAUGAAGCGUGAAGGCGGGUAAUGGAUAAGGCACCACCGUCUACACACUUGCCAGCGCCCCGGGUAAUAGAUCCGCCCCCGUCUACAC
rnacentral:rRNA from 1 species